rnacentral:rRNA from 1 species
GACGGAGGGUGCAAGCGUUGUCCGGAAUCACUGGGUGUAAAGGGUGUGUAGGCGGGGCUGUGAGUCAGGGGUGAAAGCCCGCGGCUUAACCGCGGAACUGCCUUUGAUACUGCAGCUCUUGAGUCCUGGAGAGGUCGCUGGAAUUCGUGGUGUAGCGGUGAAAUGCGUAGAUAUCACGAGGAACACCGGAGGUGUAGACGGGCGACUGGACAGUGACUGACGCUGAGGCACGAAAGCGUGGGGAGCAAACAGG